AAAUCAGUGUUUACCCAUCCACUAUGAAGAUAUCUAAAGCUGCCAAAAAAGGACACACACUUCUCCAAUGAGAUCCACCAAACAUCAAGGUCACUCUCUGAGACUUACAAGAUCACAGUAUCUGUGCAAUGUCUACCAGUCACCAAAAAUGUAGAUGUCUCUCACUGAUGCAACAAACUGCAGGUCUACCAAGUCAACAAUGUUGAAGUCCGGGAAACACCAGUUUGCAUCAUCAACCACGUGCCAAAGUGUCGGCAGCAUAGAUGUCCAACAACAGUGAAGCUGAUAUUUAAGUAACUUAAAAAAUGCUUGAUGCAGAGCAAACAACCUCCACUGACAUGACAAAGGCUUCAGGGUGUUAAAGAUGUCAAUGCUUGGGAACACCAAACGUCUUCAAGACAUCCUGCUAGUCAAGGGAUCUUGGAUGAACAACCAAGACAUCUGUUAUGUUUUUUAAGAUUUAAGAUGACUCAGUGUUAUUUUGAUGUAAACUUAACUAGUUGUAAGAACACCAUUGCGAGAACGCCGUGUUUGAUUAAUGGGCGGAGUUACGAUUAGUUUAAAGGGGCUUGGACACAUGCGACCAAGGCAUGUGGAGUCCCACUACCGGCCAGGCACACUUGGUUGUUGAUCUUAAA